GUGAACCUUUACUAUAGCUUCACAUUGACAUUGGGCAAUUUAUGUGUAGGAUAGGUGGGAGACUUUGAUACUGCGUCGCUAGGCGUAGGGUAGUCGUCCUUGAAAUACCACCCUUGAAUUGUUUGAUGUCUAACCCCUCCGGGGGGACAUUGUGUGGUGGGUAGUUUGACUGGGGUGGUCGCCUCCAAAAGAGUAACGGAGGCUUCUAAAGGUGCCCUCAAUACGGUUGGCAAUCGUGUGUAGAGUGCAAUGGCACAAGGGCGCUUGACUGAGAGACAUACAGGUCGACCAGGUUGGAAACAAGAGCAUAGUGAUCCGGUGGUUCCGCAUGGAAGGGCCAUCGCUCAAAGGAUAAAAGGUACUCCA
rnacentral:rRNA from 12 species